GAUGAACGCUGGCGGCGUGCUUAACACAUGCAAGUCGAACGGAAAGGCCGAAGCUUGCUUCGGUACUCAAGUGGCGAACGGGUGAGUAACACGUGGGUGAUCUGCCCUGCACUUUGGGAUAAGCCUGGGAAACUGGGUCUAAUACCAGAUAGGACCACGUCUUGGAUGGUGUGGUGGAAAGUUUUUUCGGUGUGGGAUGAGCUCGCGGCCUAUCACCUUGUUGGUGGGGUAAUGGCCUACCAAGGCGUCGACGGGUAGCCGGCCUGAGAGGGUGUACGGCCACAUUGGGACUGAGAUACGGCCCAGACUCCUACGGGAGGCAGCAGUGGGGAAUAUUGCACAAUGGGCGCAAGCCUGAUGCAGCGACGCCGCGUGGGGGAUGACGGCCUUCGGGUUGUAGACUCCUUUCGCCAGGGACGAAGCGUAAGUGACGGUACCUGGAUAAGAAGCACCGGCUAACUACGUGCCAGCAGCCGCGGUAAUACGUAGGGUGCGAGCGUUGUCCGGAAUUACUGGGCGUAAAGAGCUCGUAGGUGGUUUGUCGCGUCGUUUGUGUAAUACCGCAGCUUAACUGCGGGGUUGCAGGCGAUACGGGCAUAACUUGAGUGCUGUAGGGGAGACUGGAAUUCCUGGUGUAGCGGUGGAAUGCGCAGAUAUCAGGAGGAACACCGAUGGCGAAGGCAGGUCUCUGGGCAGUAACUGACGCUGAGGAGCGAAAGCAUGGGUAGCGAACAGGAUUAGAUACCCUGGUAGUCCAUGCCGUAAACGGUGGGCGCUAGGUGUGAGUCCCUUCCACGGGGUUCGUGCCGUAGCUAACGCAUUAAGCGCCCCGCCUGGGGAGUACGGCCGCAAGGCUAAAACUCAAAGGAAUUGACGGGGGCCCGCACAAGCGGCGGAGCAUGUGGAUUAAUUCGAUGCAACGCGAAGAACCUUACCUGGGCUUGACAUGCACCGGAUCGCUGCAGAGAUGUAGUUUCCCUUGUGGCUGGUGUACAGGUGGUGCAUGGUUGUCGUCAGCUCGUGUCGUGAGAUGUUGGGUUAAGUCCCGCAACGAGCGCAACCCUUGUCUUAUGUUGCCAGCAUUUGGUUGGGGACUCAUGAGAGACUGCCGGGGUUAACUCGGAGGAAGGUGGGGAUGACGUCAAAUCAUCAUGCCCCUUAUGUCCAGGGCUUCACACAUGCUACAAUGGUCGGUACAACGCGCAGCUACUUCGUGAGGAGGCGCUAAUCGCUGAAAGCCGGUCUUAGUUCGGAUUGGGGUCUGCAACUCGACCCCAUGAAGUCGGAGUCGCUAGUAAUCGUAGAUCAGCAACGCUGCGGUGAAUACGUUCCCGGGCCU
rnacentral:rRNA from 1 species